AUGGCUCCCAUUCUCAUCAACGACCUUGUCAAAGGAAACCAAGUGUGGAAGAGGUAUAUCAGGGUUGUUGACCUAUGUGUUGUUAAGGAGAAAACAGGCACAGAACAUCUAGAAAUGGUCAUACAAAAUGGAAAGAGCGAUCAAAUUCACGUCACCACUAGGAGUCGAUACUUUAAAGAUUGGAGUGACCAACUUAAAGAACAUGAAACAUAUUAUCUUUAUAAUGAGGGACUACCGUGA